UACGUAGGCAGCGAGCGUUGUUCGGAAUUACUGGGCGUAAAGAGCGCGUAGGCGGUGUUUCCAGUCUGUUGUGAAAUCUCCCGGCUUAACUGGGAGGGUGCAGCGGAAACUAGAAUGCUAGAGGGUGGGAGAGGUAAGCGGAAUUCCUGGUGUAGCGGUGAAAUGCGUAGAUAUCAGGAGGAACACCGGUGGCGAAGGCGGUUCUCUGGGCAUGUCCUGACGCUGAGGAGCGAAAGUGUGGGGAGCGAACAGG
rnacentral:rRNA from 1 species